CCUACGGGAGGCAGCAGUGGGGAAUUUUACGCAAUGGGGGAAACCCUGACGUAGCGACACCGCGUGAGCGAAGAAGCCUUUUGGGGUGUAAAGCUCUGUCAGCUGGAAAGAACACAAUGACGGUACCAGCAGAGGAAGCAUCGGCUAACUACGUGCCAGCAGCCGCGGUAAGACGUAGGAUGCAAGCGUUGUCCGGAUUUAUUGGGCGUAAAGAGUUCGUAGGCUGUUUGUUAAGUCUGGUGUUAAAGACCGAGGCCCAACCUCGGAAAUGCAUCGGAUACUGGCAGACUUGAGUACGGUAGAGGCGAGUGGAAUUCCCAGUGUAGCGGUGAAAUGCGUAGAUAUUGGGAAGAACACCGGUGGCGUAGGCGACUCGCUGGGCCGCAACUGACGCUGAGGAACGAAAGCCAGGGGAGCGAAUGGGAUUAGAUACCCUUGUA
rnacentral:rRNA from 1 species